rnacentral:misc_RNA from 1 species
AUGCAAAGCCUUAAGACUCUGAUUUUAAGCAAGAAUCAUCUGGUUGAUAUCGAUGAUGCAAUUAAUAAUCUUCCUGCCUUGGAACUGCUUGACCUGUCUUGGAAUAAAAUAACCGCCUUGUCAGCUAGAUCUUUUAAAUUACUACCUAAACUUAGAAUGCUAAAGCUAGGUUAUAAUGCCAUCUCCUCCAUUGACACGGACACAUUCACAGAUCUGACAUCCCUCCAGUCGCUGGAACUCAACAAUAACCCACUACACAGCAUUGAUGGAGUCUUAUCCACACUCCCUACUCUAAGAAUGCUAAAUAUUAAGAAUUGUUUACUCGAACAUUUCCCCAAAGAAUUGCCAGAGUCAGUUCUAUUCAUUGAUGCCAGUGAAAAUAACUUGACAAAUAUAGGACAGGACAUUCAUCACAAUGCAGUAAUUCUGAGUCUUAACGACAACGACAUAACAGAAAUAGAGGAUGGUGCUCUUUCACAAUUAACGAAAUUAAGCAAGUUGGAGCUCCAAAACAAUUAUCUAACAGAGUUGCCAAAGAUUCCUCCUUCACUUCAUUACUUCAAUAUUCAAAACAACCUAAUCAGUGAACUGGAUUCUAUUUCAUUACCUGAAAAUUCUCAGCUUGAGGAGUUUUAUCUGCAAAGAAAUCUAAUAUCCAACAUAACUUUAGGGACUUUCAGGAAAGUUACUUCCCUUAAAAAGCUAAGUAUAGGAGAAAACCUCAUUCAGAACAUGAGCUCAAAGUUGUUUUAUAAUGUGUCUAGCCUUUCUUAUCUCAACAUUGACAAGUUACACCUUGUGGAAAUAUCUGAAGAUGUUUUUGAUAACCUUGAGAACCUUCUUAAACUGUCAAUGUCAGGAAUCACUAUAGCCCAAGACUCAGUCAAGGGAAAUUUCCUUCGACCUCUAUCGAAAUUAAGUACUUUAGAUCUCAGCCACAGUCCUACUUUAGCCAAGUACUUGUUAGAAUCUUCUGCGAUGCUGAGAAACCUGCGAUUUAUAAGUGAGUUGAACCUAAUGUCUAACAAUCUCACCACCUUACCAAACCGCAUAAUGGGUAGUCUGCCUCAUAUUGAGGAACUGAACAUCUUGGAUAACAAUUUCCAUUGCGAUCAAAGAUUAGUAUGGCUAGGACAGUGGAUAAAAUUUGAAACCUCUAAGUUCUCCGACCCAGAAGAUAUUGUCUGUUACACACCACAGGAACUGAACGGUCAAACGAUAAGUGAACUUAAAACAUCAGACUUUGUCCCAGCAACGACUCCUUUACCAGGCCUCGGUACAAGUUUUCACGCUGUGACGUUUUUUCCCACGGAGAAACCCCUGGGUCCUGAUAGCAUGUCCAAUGAGCAGACGGUGUCCUUGGCAGCCACCAACACUCAGUUCAUUGCCCUGACAGUUUCAGUUUCUGUCUUCAUUGUUCUGGCAGCUAUAGCUUUCGUCGUAUUUCACAUCUGCAGACAGACUCGAUGUCUGGACUAUAACAGAUCCACUGUCAUUAAUCACCCACCCCCUGUCAACUUUUUUAUUUCCAACGAGGAAAAUGCCCCAGUUCCUCCCCCACCCAGGCUGACGCGCGAAGAUCGGUGCUCAGUGACCUCACAGACAUCAAGGGACAUAACUAGUGAGGAGCAGGGGGUCAAAGUGUAUACAUGGAGUGGGUAGCUUGGUUGUAUAAUUACACUGUUAUUUAAUGACAUGUCCAAUAUCAAGAAUGAAAUUUAAUUCAAUUUUUUUUUAUGCGAAUAAAAUAAAUCCAACAUG